UGAUACUGAUUUAUUCAUUCCCAAAACGAAAUUAUAGAAAGUAGGAUAAAUAUUUGUGUCUAGAAAAUUUUCCAAAUUAUUUCCAAACAAUGGCAAUUAAACGCAAAGUCCCCAGGAGUAAGCCCCGCAGCUCUGUUGUCGCACGCCGUGUCAAAAAACCCAACCCAGUACGUCUUCGCAGUCUGGGGGAUCUGAAGGAGUCGGAAAUGAUUAAAGUGACAUCCGCUCUGAAUGCAGCAGUCAAUCUGGCAUCGGCGGAGGAUAAUUUGAAGAAGAACUCGGAUUCGCCAUACUGCCUGCCCGACGAUGCUGAAAUGUAGCGGAGAAAAAAGAAGAUGGAGCGCGGCUACGUGGACAGCGGCUUCGAGCACACAGCACUUGUUACUCUCUCAGAGGUUCCGGUCCGACGUCGAAGUCGUAGUGCUACCACUGCCACCAUCGAUGCUGGCAGCAACUGUCGCAUCUGCGGUCGUCCCAUGCCUGAAUAAAGGUAGAGGAACUGUCGCCGUACAAACCUCCAGAAAUUGUUUGCUAUGGUGGCCAUCAAGCUUUGCGUACUUGUAGUUGUUCCGAAUAGAAGUGAAAUAUACUUAAGUUGAAUUAUAA